rnacentral:lncRNA from 1 species
UUUUAUUUGGUUUUCCAGGUACUCCGAAUAAUGGCAUGCAUGGACGGGAGUUGUAGCACUAUACAUGGACAGCACACAUCACACGUUAUAAAUUAGUCUUAGGUUCAUUCUUAAUGUCUUAAUAGAUAUAAAGUCAAUGUUGAGAACCCCUUUCAUGUACCUUUGUUAGUUGGAGUUGUUAGCUGUUUGAGACUUCUUAUUUAGUUUCCUUGGAGUCUACUUAUUUAUUAUGAACUGCGUGCAUGUCUUUCUAGUUGUGGAUAUAUUUGAGAGAUAUUAUAAA